rnacentral:rRNA from 1 species
UACGUAGGGGGCAAGCGUUGUCCGGAAUCAUUGGGCGUAAAGCGCGUGUAGGCGGCUUGGUAAGUCUGCUCUGAAAGCCCGGGGGCUCAACCCCGGGAGGCGGGUGGAUACUGUCAAGCUCGAGUCCGGAAGAGGAGUGUGGAAUUCCUGGUGUAGCGGUGAAAUGCGCAGAUAUCAGGAGGAACACCAAUGGCGAAGGCAGCACUCUGGGACGGUACUGACGCUGAGACGCGAAAGCGUGGGGAGCGAACAGG